GGUUCGAUUAUGGCUCACAGAUUGAACGCUGGCGGAUGCUUUACACAUGCAAGUCGAACGGCAGCACGGACUUCGGUCUUGGUGGCGAGUGGCGAACGGGUGAGUAAUGUAUCGGAACGCGCCUAGUAGCGGGGGAUAACUACGCGAAAGCGUAGCUAAUACCGUAUACGUUCUUCGGGGGAAAGCGGGGGACCUUCGGGGCCUCGCAAUUAUUAGAGCGGCCGAUAUCGGAUUAGCUAGUUGGUGGGGUAACGGCUCACCAAGGCGACGAUCCGUAGCUGGUUUGAGAGGACGACCAGCCACACUGGGACUGGAGACACGGCCCAGACUCCUACGGAGGCAGCAGUGGGAAUUUGGACAAUGGGGAAACCCCUGAUCCAGCCAUCCCGCGUGUGCGAUGAAGGCCUUCGGGUUGUAAAGCACUUUUGGCAGGAAAGAAACGGCACGGAUAAUACCCCGUGCAACUGACGGUACCUGCAGAAUAAGCACCGGCUAACUACGCCAGCAGCCGCGGUAAUACGUAGGGUGCAAGAAUCGAACAUUUUGGGUGAAGCAGGCGCAGGCGGUUCGGAAAGAAAGAUGUGAAAUCCCAGAGCUUAACUUUGAACCUGGGUAAUUUUUAACUCACUGAGCUAGGAGUGUGUCAGGAGGGAGGUGGAAUUCGCGUGUGGCAGCAAGUGCGGUAGACAUGCAGGAUACACCGGAUGGCGAAGGCAGCCUCCUGGGAUAACACUGACGCUCAUGCACGAAAGCGUGGGGAGCAAACAGGAUUAGACACCCUGGUAGUCCACGCCCUAAACGAUGUCAACUAGCUGUUGGGGCCUGGCCUGGAAGGCAGCUAACGCGUGAAGUUGACCGCCUGGGGAGUACGGUCGCAAGAUUAAAACUCAAAGGAAUUGACGGGGACCCGCACAAGCGGUGGAUGAUGUGGAUUAAUUCGAUGCAACGCGAAAACCUUACCUACCCUUGACAUGUCUGGAAUCCCGAAGAGACGGGGAGUGCUCGCAAGAGAACCGGAACACAGGUGCUGCAUGGCUGUCGUCAGCUCGUGUCGAGAUGCUGGGUUAAGUCCCAACGAGUGGCAACCCUUGUCAUUAGUUGCUACGAAAGGGCACUCUAAUGAGACUGCCGGUGACAAACCGGAGAUGCAUGAUGCCUGUCCUCAUGGCCUCAUGUAGCCACAUCAUACAAUGGUCAGGACAGAGGGUCGCCAACCGCGAGGGGAGCCAACCGAAACCAUCGUAGUCCGGAUCGCAGUCUGCAACUCGACUGCGUGAAGUCGGAAUCGCUAGUAAUCGCGGAUCAGCAUGUCGCGGUGAAUACGUUCCCGGGUCUUGUACACACCGCCCGUCACACCAUGGAGUGGUUUACUGAAGCAGUUAGCCUAACCGUAAGGAGGGCGAUUACCACGGUAGGAUUCAUGACUGGGGUGAAGUCGGAACAGCGUAA
rnacentral:rRNA from 1 species